rnacentral:rRNA from 1 species
AUUGAACGCUGGCGGCAUGCUUUACACAUGCAAGUCGAACGGCAGCACGGGUGCUUGCACCUGGUGGCGAGUGGCGAACGGGUGAGUAAUGCAUCGGAACGUGCCCAUGAGUGGGGGAUAGCCCGGCGAAAGCCGGAUUAAUACCGCAUACGCCCUUAGGGGGGAAAGCGGGGGAUCUUCGGACCUCGCGCUAUUGGAGCGGCCGAUGUCGGAUUAGCUAGUAGGUGAGGUAAAGGCUCACCUAGGCGACGAUCCGUAGCUGGUCUGAGAGGAUGAUCAGCCACACUGGGACUGAGACACGGCCCAGACUCCUACGGGAGGCAGCAGUGGGGAAUUUUGGACAAUGGGCGCAAGCCUGAUCCAGCCAUGCCGCGUGAGUGAAGAAGGCCUCGGUUGUAAG